rnacentral:rRNA from 1 species
CCCGCUGAACUUAAGCAUAUCAAUAAGCGGAGGAAAAGAAACCAACAGGGAUUGCCUUAGUAACGGCGAGUGAAGCGGCAAGAGCUCAAAUUUGAAAUCUGGCGUCUCCGACGUCCGAGUUGUAAUUUGAAGAUAAAUCUUCGGUGCGGACCUUGGCCUAUGUUCCUUGGAACAGGACGUCAUAGAGGGUGAGAAUCCCGUUCUUGGCCGAUGGUCUCGUGCCAUGUGAAGACGAAUCGAAGAGUCGAGUUGUUUGGGAAUGCAACUCAAAAUGGGUGGUAAAUUUCAUCUAAAGCUAAAUAUUGGCGAGAGACCGAUAGCGCACAAGUAGAGUGAUCGAAAGAUGAAAAGCACUUUGAAAAGAGAGUUAAACAGUACGUGAAAUUGUUGAAAGGGAAGCGCUUGCAAUCAGACCCGUCCCUGGCUGAUCAACUCCCCUUCUGGGUUGUGCACUCAGCCUCCGACGUGCCAGCAUCGGUCAAUGCGGUGGGACAAAGACUUUGGGAAUGUGACUCUCUUCGGGGAGUGUUAUAGCCCUUUGUGCAAUGCCACCCGCUGUUGACCGAGGACCGCGCCUUGGCUAGGAUGCUGGCUUAAUGGUUGUAAGCGACCCGUCUUGAAACACGG